UACGAAGGGGGCUAGCGUUGUUCGGAAUUACUGGGCGUAAAGGGCAUGUAGGCGGUUUGAUAAAUUAGGAGUGAAAUGCCUGGGCUUAACCCGGGAACUGCUUUUAAGACUGUCAGACUUGAAUCCGUGAGAGGACAGUGGAAUUUCCAGUGUAGAGGUGAAAUUCGUAGAUAUUGGAAAGAACACCAGUGGCGAAGGCGACUGUCUGGCGCGGUAUUGACGCUGAGAUGCGAAAGCGUGGGGAGCAAACAGG
rnacentral:rRNA from 1 species